rnacentral:snoRNA from 1 species
AUGUCAAGGCUGGGGCAUUUUCUAAAAAAAUUCUUGAACCUUUCCCAUGCCUCUAGAUAGCUCUCGAGAUCUUUCUACUUGAAGGUGGACAUCAUUUGUGAUUU